rnacentral:tRNA from 2 species
AGUUACAAUAGUUUAAGAAAAACAAAGGUUUUGUAAUCCUUAGUUGAUUGAAUCUUGUAAUUUC